UUAUUUGUUUUCCGCCUCCACGGGACGACAAAAGAAAGGGCGGACACGGAGCUGCCGAAGAAGUGAAAAUAGGAAGCACGUCCAACAACGCGAGAGGAGAAAGAGAUGAUCAGCGCGUGAAGAAUCAAUCGAAUAAAGAGGUGAAAAUAUAGUGGUGUGAAUUACGGAUCACAAGAGACUCAUUCGUACUUUACUAUCUUCUCAAACUUUGCUUCCUUGCUGAGGGAAGCCCUUUGGUGCGUAAACGGAAGCGGACGAUCAGGAUCAGUCCCAGAACUAUCCCGUUCUUUUGUUAUGGAGAAAAUUUGAGAUUCUUAUUACUUUCGCCUUGUCACAAUGGAAGCCCGGGAAAUAACUGAAGGAACGGUUUCUAACGAUGCUCGUAAAUUGGCUGGAACUGUCAAUUGGGGAACAGCAACUGUCAUAGGAGUGUUUGCAGGCAUGUUAUAUGGAGGCAGCAAGGAAGCAUCAGCUUCGGUUGUAAGUUUGGAUUUAGUUGAAGAGCUUAAAUUGCAUAUCAAGUCUUUCAUCUCAAUUUUGUUUUAACAAUAUUGUUAGCGACCUAGGGAAGUGAAAAUUCGAGGGAAAGCUUGUCAAAGAUAUGCAUCUAGGGAUAUAGAUCUUAAAUCUAUUCUCCACAUUCCAAAACUUGUAACCUCUUGUCUGUUAGUAAACUCUUUAAAGAUUCUAAUAGUGUUAUUUUUUAUGACCCUCCUUGUGCUUUUAGGACCAGUAUUUGGGAAUGAUGAUUGUCACAGCUAGAGAAAUAGGCGGAUUAUAUUAUUUUGAUGAGAUUUCCUUCAAGAAUAGAAAGACUCAAGCCUUAAGCAGUAUGAGUUCAAUUCUAGUUUAGAAUAAAUAAUGCAAUGUCAUCUUAGACUAGGACAUCCU